CCUACGGGAGGCAGCAGUGGGGAAUAUUGGGCAAUGGGCGCAAGCCUGACCCAGCAACGCCGCGUGAAGGAAGAAGGCCCUCGGGUUGUAAACUUCUUUUAUCAAGGACGAAACAAAUGACGGUACUUGAUGAAUAAGCCACGGCUAACUACGUGCCAGCAGCCGCGGUAAUACGUAGGUGGCAAGCGUUAUCCGGAUUUAUUGGGUGUAAAGGGCGUGUAGGCGGGAGCGCAAGUCAGAUGUGAAAACUCAGGGCUCAACCCUGAGCCUGCAUUUGAAACUGUGUUUCUUGAGUGCUGGAGAGG
rnacentral:rRNA from 1 species